rnacentral:lncRNA from 1 species
ACAGGAUUUGGGUGCCCCAGCAUUUUGCACCCUUUUCUUGUUCUUCUUGUUCUUUUUUUCUUUCUCAAAGGGUCGACAUCUAGAAGAAGACCCUCCAACAAUAUUCACUGACUCCUUGUGGAGCUGGUGAUCCUUCUCAAAGUUCUGCAGCAACCCUAACAAAUUGUAAAAGUUGACUGCAAGCUUUGUCAUUUGAAAAUAAAGAAAGAGAGAUAGGAUUUAGACAGAGAGUUUAGAAUAGCAUCUUUCUCCAACUACUCAUGCAGGAGAAAAAUCGAGCUUGCUUAGGUGCUCAAUCAUCUCGAUCAUAUACAAUACAUGAUCAGUGAUU